rnacentral:rRNA from 1 species
UACAGAGGGUGCGAGCGUUGUUCGGAUUCACUGGGCGUAAAGGGUGCGUAGGCGGUUGUGCAAGUCUGAUGUGAAAUCUCCGGGCUCAACCCGGAAAUGGCAUUGGAAACUGCAUGGCUAGAGGGUUGGAGGGGGGACUGGAAUACUUGGUGUAGCAGUGAAAUGCGUAGAUAUCAAGUGGAACACCAGUGGCGAAGGCGAGUCCCUGGACAGCACCUGACACUGAGGCACGAAAGCUAGGGGAGCAAACAGG